rnacentral:rRNA from 1 species
GACGAACGCUGGCGGCGUGCCUAAUACAUGCAAGUUGAGCGCUGAAGGUUGGUACUUGUACCAACUGGAUGAGCAGCGAACGGGUGAGUAACGCGUGGGGAAUCUGCCUUUGAGCGGGGGACAACAUUUGGAAACGAAUGCUAAUACCGCAUAAAAACUUUAAACACAAGUUUUAAGUUUGAAAGAUGCAAUUGCAUCACUCAAAGAUGAUCCCGCGCUGUAUUAGCUAGUUGGUGAGGUAAAGGCUCACCAAGGCGAUGAUACAUAGCCGACCUGAGAGGGUGAUCGGCCACAUUGGGACUGAGACACGGCCCAAACUCCUACGGGAGGCAGCAGUAGGGAAUCUUCGGCAAUGGACGAAAGUCUGACCGAGCAACGCCGCGUGAGUGAAGAAGGUUUUCGGAUCAUAAAACUCUGUUGGUAGAGAAGAACGUUGGUGAGAGUGGAAAGCUCAUCAAGUGACGGUAACUACCCAGAAAGGGACGGCUAACUACGUG